rnacentral:rRNA from 1 species
AUGGUCGCCGCCGCCGCCGCCCGCCGCAAGCGCUCCCGCCUGGCGCCGCGGUCGCCGCCGGCGACGCGCCCCCGCGCGCCGCCGCCGCAGCUGACGGCGCUGCUGGCGCAGCUGGCCACGUCGGUGUCCCUGGCGCUGCGCUUCGCGUCGGACCGCGACCUGCUGCUCCGCCCCUCCCAGGCGCUGGCGCUCGACCCGCUGCUCCUCGCCGCCGCGCGGGCCGUGUCGCGGCUCCUCGCCCUGCUCCCGCUCCACCUCCAGACCAUCACGCUCACCUCGCUCUCGCUCUCCCCGCCCACGCCGCCGCCCUCGCUGCCCUCCUCCUGGUUCCUCCGCCUCGUCUCCGCCUCCCCGGCCCUCCCGGACUCCGCCUGGCGCGACGCCUUCCGCAUGUCCCGCCCGGCCUUCUACGCGCUCCUCCGCUCCCUCGCGCUCCCCGACCCCGCCGCCGCCUCCUCCUCCCUCGCGCUGCCGGCCGACCACAAGCUCGGCGCCGCGCUCUACCGCCUCGCGCACGCCGCGCCGGCCCGCGCCGUGGCGCGCCGCUUCGGGCUCCCGUCGCCCGCCGCCGCGGCGCAAGCCUUCUACGAGGUCUGCCGCGCCGUCGCCGACCGCCUCGCCGCCCUGCUCGACCUCGCCGCGCCCGACCGCAUCUCCCGCGCCGUCCCUGGCUUCUGCGCGCUCUCCCUCCCCAACUGCUGCGGCGCGCUCGGCUACGCGCGCUUCGGGGGCGCCGCGGUCACCGCCCAGGCGCUGGUCGACGCCGAGGGCCGCUUCCUCGACGUCUCCGUCGGCUGGGACCCGGCCGAGGCGCCGCCGGAGGUCCUGCCGCGGACCAAGCUCUACACCUCGCAGUCGCUCGUGCUCGCCAACGCGCCCCACGGCGAGCUCAUCGGCGGCUCCGUGCCGCGCUACUUCCUCGCGCCCGCCUGCUGCCCGCUGCUCCCCUGGCUCGUCACGCCCUACAGGGACGCCGGCGCCACGGACGGCGCGUCCAAGGAGCGCAUCUUCAACAACGUGCACGCGCAGGGGGCGCGGCUGGUGAGGAGCGCGUUCGGCCGCGUGCGCGCGCGGUGGCUGCUGCUGGAGGAGCCCUGGAAGGGCGAGUGCCAGGAGGCGCUGCCGUACGUCGUGGUCGCCGGCUGCCUGCUGCACAACUUUCUCAUCAAGUGCGGCGAGCCGAUGCCCGACGCGGCGGCGGCUCCGGUGGACGCCGGCGCCGACGCGUUUGCGGACUUCGAGGGGGAGAAUGACAAGGAAGGGGAGAGGAUCCGGGAUGUUCUUGCUGUGCAUUUGAGCUUGGUGAGCCGUACCCAGUGA